rnacentral:rRNA from 1 species
CCUACGGGAGGCAGCAGUGAGGAAUAUUGGUCAAUGGGCGGAAUCCUGAACCAGCCAUGCCGCGUGCAGGACGACGGCCCUAUGGGUUGUAAACUGCUUUUAUGCGGGGAUAAAGCGGUCCACGUGUGGGUUUUUGCAGGUACCGUACGAAUCAGGAUCGGCUAAUUCCGUGCCAGCAGCCGCGGUAAUACGGAGGGUCCGUGCGUUAUCCGGAUUCAUUGGGUUUAAGGGGUGCGUAGGUCGGUCUUUAAGCUUGCAGUGAAAUUUCGUGGCUCAACAGUGAGAGUGCGGCGCGAACUGGAGGCGUAGAGUGCGGAGAGGGCAGGCGGAAUUCGUGGGGUAGCGGUGAAAGGCUUGGAUAAU